rnacentral:tRNA from 1 species
GCCCGGAUAGCUCAGUUGGUAGAGCAGUGGAUUGAAGAUCCUCGUGUCAUCAGUUCGAAUCUGAUUCUGGGCAC